GGAAAAUGUUGAACCAGAUCAGAAUGCCUUCAAGGACCACUUUCAGGCACAGGCUGAGAAGGAUGUGGAGGUUUUUGACCAGGUGAGACUGAACAUGGACAAGGCGCAAAAGAAACAGAAGGAGAGCUACCGGAGGAGAAUCAAGAAAGGGACCAAGAGCUUCGACAUCCGGCCAAAUGAAACCUUGCUGCUCUUUCACUCCUAGCUGGGCUCACCAUCCGUUAAGGAUCUAGGGGUUCUGCUAACACCCAGAAAUGGAUCCAGCUGAUGUCUUCCAUUACCAACCACCCUCCAGCUUUUUGUUACAUCAUCUACAGCUACUGUUAUUAUCAUGUUGUCAUUAUCUGCCAAUAACGUUUUCUUGCUCUAUCAUGCUGGAAACAUAAAAACGCUUUUUAUUUUGUAAUUUUUUUAUUUAACCU